rnacentral:rRNA from 1 species
GAUGAACGCUAGCUACAGGCUUAACACAUGCAAGUCGAGGGGCAGCGCAGUGUAGCAAUACAUGGGCGGCGACCGGCGCACGGGUGCGUAACGCGUAUCCAACCUUCCCGAUACUCUUGGAUAGCCUUCCGAAAGGGAGAUUAAUACAAGAUGGUGUUUCAAUUCCGCAUGUUAUUGAAACUAAAGAUUUAUCGGUAUCGGAUGGGGAUGCGUGACAUUAGAUAGUAGGCGGGGUAACGGCCCACCUAGUCUACGAUGUCUAGGGGUUCUGAGAGGAAGGCCCCCCACACUGGAACUGAGACACGGCCCAGACUCCUACGGGAGGCAGCAGUGGGGGAUAUUGCACAAUGGAGGAAACUCUGAUGCAGCAACGCCGCGUGAGGGAAGAAGGUCUUCGGAUUGUAAACCUUUGUUUUUGGUGACGAAUAAUGACGGUAGCCAAAGAGGAAGCCACGGCUAACUACGUG